UGGGGAAUAUUGCACAAUGGGCGAAAGCCUGAUGCAGCAACGCCGCGUGAGUGAUGAAGGCCUUCGGGUUGUAAAGCUCUGUCUUUUGGGACGAUAAUGACGGUACCAAAGGAGGAAGCCACGGCUAACUACGUGCCAGCAGCCGCGGUAAUACGUAGGUGGCAAGCGUUGUCCGGAUUUACUGGGCGUAAAGGAUGCGUAGGCGGAUUUUUAAGUGAGAUGUGAAAUACCCGGGCUUAACUUGGGUGCUGCAUUUCAAACUGGGAAUCUAGAGUGCGGGAGAGGAGAAUGGAAUUCCUAGUGUAGCGGUGAAAUGCGUAGAGAUUAGGAAGAACACCAGUGGCGAAGGCGAUUCUCUGGACCGUAACUGACGCUGAGGCAUGAAAGCGUGGGUA
rnacentral:rRNA from 1 species